rnacentral:rRNA from 1 species
UUCGAUGGAUCAUGCACUACCGCCGCCCGUAGUGCCUGAUACGUGGCAACUUGAGCGGAUAGAUGCGGAGAUUGCUGCCGUGAAGCUCCGCGGCGGACGGGUGAGUAACACGUGGGUAACGGGCACGCCAGAGUGGGAUAACUGCGGGACACCCGGGGCUAAUACCGGAUGCUUGUCUGAACCGCAUGGUUCAAACAUAUUAGGUGGCUUCGGCUACCACUUACAGAUGGACUCGCGGCGCAUUAGCUAGUUGGUGAGGUAACGGCUCACCAAGGCAACGAUGCGUAGCCGACCUGAGAGGGUGAUCGGCCACACUGGGACUGAGACACGGCCCAGACUCCUACGGGAGGCAGCAGUAGGGAAUCUUCUGCAAUGGACGAAAGUCUGACGGAGCAACGCCGCGUGAGUGAUGAAGGUUUUCGGAUCGUAAAGCUCUGUUGUUAGGGAAGAACAAGUACCGUUCGAAUAGGGCGGUACCUUGACGGUACCUAACCAGAAAGCCACGGCUAACUACGUGCCAGCAGCCGCGGUAAUACGUAGGUGGCCAGCGUUGUCCGGAAUUAUUGGGCGUAAAGGGCUCGCAGGCGGUUUCUUAAGUCUGAUGUGAAAGCCCCCGGCUCAACCGGGGAGGGUCAUUGGAAACUGGGGAACUUGAGUGCAGAAGAGGAGAGUGGAAUUCCACGUGUAGCGGUGAAAUGCGUAGAGAUGUGGAGGAACACCAGUGGCGAAGGCGACUCUCUGGUCUGUAACUGACGCUGAGGAGCGAAAGCGUGGGGAGCGAACAGGAUUAGAUACCCUGGUAGUCCACGCCGUAAACGAUGAGUGCUAAGUGUUAGGGGGUUUCCGCCCCUUAGUGCUGCAGCUAACGCUUUAAGCACUCCGCUUUGGAGAUCGGAAG